CCUACGGGUGGCAGCAGUGAGGAAUAUUGGUCAAUGGUCGCGAGCCUGAACCAGCCAAGUCGCGUGAAGGAUGACUGUCCUACGGAUUGUAAACUUCUUUUAUAAAGGAAUAAAGUGAGGCACGUGUGCCUGUUUGUAUGUACUUUAUGAAUAAGGAUCGGCUAACUCCGUGCCAGCAGCCGCGGUAAUACGGAGGAUCCGAGCGUUAUCCGGAUUUAUUGGGUUUAAAGGGAGCGUAGAUGGGUUGUUAAGUCAGUUGUGAAAGUUUGGGGCUCAACCGUAAAAUUGCAAUUGAUACUGGCAGCCUUGAGUACAGGUGAGGUAGGCGGAAUUCGUGGUGUAGCGGUGAAAUGCUUAGAUAUCGCGAAGAACUCCGAUUGCGAAGGCAGCUUACUAAACUGCCACUGACAUUGAUGCACGAAAGUGUGGGUAUCAAACAGGAUUAGAUACCCCUGUAGUC
rnacentral:rRNA from 1 species